CUUAUAAAAAAGUGGAAACUCGUCAUUGAAGCACUAUUCACAACAGCCAAGACAUGGAAGCAACGUAAAUGUCCAUGAACAGAGGAAUGGAUAAGGAAGAUGUGGCAUAUAUACACAGUGGAAUACUACUCAGCCAUAAAAAGAAUGAAAUAAUGCCAACUGCAGCGACAAUGGAUGGACCUAGAGGUUUUCAUACUAAGCAAAAUGGACCCACACACAGGGAAGACAACGUGAAGGCACAGAGGGAAUACACCAGGUGAAGAUGAGGGCAGAGAUCCACAAGCCAGGGAGCGCCAAAGACCGCCAGAAAACCACCAGGAGCUAGGGGAGAAGCCUGGAACAGACACUCCUUCUCAGUCCUCAGAAGGACCCAAUCCUGCCCACACCUUGGUCUUGGACUUCUGACCUCCAGAAUGCAAAGGUGCAAGGACCUGCUUAGGCCAUGAGAAGAAAAUGCGGUCAAGAUAAAAGCUGAUUGUGAAUUCAGUUCCAAGGUGUAAAAAGUACCGACGAAAGAUACGUGAUUA